CUUCCAGGAGCCUACGGGCUCUGUGACUUCUGAGCCUCUCCCGCCUCCUUUUAUUCAGGCUUCAGUUAACAGUUGAUGGAGCAGAUGGCAGCUGGAGCAUGGAGCAGUUGAAUGAGUCACAUGGGGAGUCUGUCGAAAACUCAAAAAUGGAACAUCAUAGAAGUCAGGCCUGCUGAACCUUAACAUGAAACCAUCCUUCCUGUUUCUGCGAUAAGGUGCUCAUUAACUGAAAUUGAUUCUGUUUUGACUUCUGGUGGUCUGCUGACCUUUGGAAGGCCUCUGCAGUGUUUGAAGCUAAAGUUGGCUUGUCUUGAUCUUCAUGACUGCAGUAGUCAAAGGCUGGAAACAAAACUUAGUCUACACUAUCUCCCCUAAUUUAUUUACUCAGCUGUCCCUUCAACAUUCAUGCUUCACUAAGAAGUUUUGAUGUCUGCUUUUUCUGCACCUGUUGAUAGCAACUUAUCCCUAAGAUAUAUCAAGGGACCUUUUUAUCUUCAAGGGCAUUUCUGCUGCCUCAUAUUGCUGCCACUAAUGGAGAAGGCUCCAUGAGAAAAGUUGAUAAACCUAGCACAACAGUAUUUACAUAAAGAAGUAGAGAAACAUAUUUUGGAUUCCAAGUGAAUUGGACUAGAGAGGAUCAUUAACCAUCUUGGUACAGUGGUAUAUAAAAUACAAUUGGAAAAAAAUCAAAAUAAGUACAAAAUAAGUUAAAGUUAUUCACUGGUGUAUGAAAUUUAAUGUAUUAAAUUUAUUUAAAAGCCACAGAAUGCCAAUAACACCAAUCGACUAAAAGACGAGUAGCUGUUAAACACCGAUAAAGGAAAACAAGUGUUAAUUUGUGUUUGUUGUUGUGUUUUUCUAUUUUUAAUAUAUUUGUGUGUCAUAAUAUUUUGAUGUUGC